rnacentral:rRNA from 1 species
AUGGAAUUAAGUUUGUCUCGUACGCUUCACCUUUUUAAUGUCUUUCGUGAGAAUAAGGAUUCCGAUAAUUGUGCUCAAGUGCUAGAAGAAGAAUGCAUUAGAAUGUUUGGCACUAAAUAUUUGAAUUAUGAGCAUGAUUGCAAUGUUGUUAGUAUGAAUUCCUUGAAUAUCUAUGAUGCUAAUGAUAUGCAAAGCCAUGGGCUUGGGGAAGCUAUGUUUGAUGAAGAUGAUAUUUUUAGUCCCCCAAGUUUUGAUGAGAAAAUUUAUUAUGAUGAAAGCAUGCCUCCUAUCUAUGAUGAUUAUUGUGAUGACACGUAUGCUUUAAAGAAUAAUUAUAACCAUGAAACUUGUCAUCAUGAUUUUAGUUUUCAAUUGGAUUAUGCCUCACAUGAUGGUUAUUUCGUUGAGUUUGCUCCCACUACUAUUCAAGAGAAGAAUUUUGCUUAUGUGGAGAGUAAGAAAAUUUCUAUGCUUGUAGAUCAUGAAAAUAAUGCUUUAUGUGAUAUUUAUAUUGUUUAA